GGCACUGCUAUCAUGGGGCACUGGUAACAAAUAAAUAUCACUUUGGAGGCCAUGUGCAGAUCAGAUUUGGAAGUGACCAAGACUGGAGGCAGGGACACCAGAGUUUUCUGUUAAAAACUGGUCCAUGCAAGAAAAGAUGACUCCUGAAAUAAGACAGUGAUCAUUAGGAUGAAGAGGAAGAGAAGAUUUGAGGAAUACUUAGAACAGAAUUUACUGAAUUUACUGGUUGAAUUGAAUGUGAAGAGGAGAUGAAUAAAGAAGAAAACACCCUCAAAGGAACAAAUAUGAAACAAUCUCUGGAAAAUGGAAUUUGAUUUUGAUUCAACAACAGGAGAAUUCUACUGUUUUUCUCCAGCAGCUCCACGAUAAAAGGACAGUUGCUCUGAUUCAUUUCUGGACUUCAGUGGAAGAAGCAGCCCUUAUUUAGGAUAUUGUUAGUCUUUGGCAGAGGGAAUACAAAGCAAUGGAAGGGUGAUGUGAUGGCUCCGAAAGCUUCUGUUGGAUGUAGAAUAUAAAGUUUGCUCACCUUUUUUAAUCCAAAGAGAAAAACAAGGAGAGAAAAAUCUAAACCCAGCAGAAGAGAAAGUUUAAGAAAGCGGUCGUCGCCAAUACCAAAAUUAGCUAUGAUAUUCAGGAAGAAAAAAAUGGAAACACGAUAACCACAGUCAAUAAAGACCAAGGCCACAUUCCAUUGACCAGAGCUCAGCCACGCGCCACACCUGGCUAAAGAGACUCUGGCUGAAGAAUUCCCUGAAUAUUUUAAUGUAGCUCUAGGUUAUAACACAGAACAACCACAAGGUGGCAGAAGAACUCCAUUCUUGUAAAUCUCUUAGUUGCUUCUUUAUUUCAUCUUCCCUAUUCCAUCUAAUGUUCCCUGAAUUUUACUAUUUUGUUGGUUUGAAAAUAUGUGUGACUUACGUCCUUUAAAGGAUUUGGUUCGUAAGGUUUUGAAUAGACUGGAAUAUAAAACAUUUAUAGAAAAGAAAAAUACCUACAGUAUGAUGUUAGUGAACUAUUAAUAAUCCAAUUAAAUAAAAUAUAUUUGCUUUGGAUUAAU
rnacentral:lncRNA from 1 species